AAAGCAUAAUCUUGGGGAGAGACAUAGAAUCCCCAAACAGUAAUAAUACAGUAAAAUAUAUAGGUUUUACUGUGUGCUACAAACCUCUGCUCCUAUAGAGUCCCUAUCGGCUUCCUUUCCUUUUUCUUCCUUUUCUUCCUUCCUUUCUUUCUUUCUUUCUUUCUUUCUUUCUUUCUUUCUUUCUUUCUCUCUAGAAAGACAAUUUGCUGGCAGGAAAUGAGGAGUAGAAAUUGUGAAUGUUAAAUGUAUAUACUGGGUGCUAAAUUUAAAUAAUUUGUCUUCAGAUAGGUUCUCUCUCUCUCGGAGCUUUAUUCAGGUUGUAAUUCGAAGAUGCUGCCGUGUAUCGCACCACAAAGCCUUCAACGGAAUAAACAAAAGUGUUCCUACCUGGUUGUCAACUUGACUACAUCUGGAAUGGACCACAAUCCAGAAAUGGAGGGCACACCUCUGAUCCAGAUGUUGAGGCUGGAAGACACAGGCUUCUGACCUGAUCCUGACAUGGAGAUCUUGAGGCCCAGGCAGGGCAAUGCAUGCCUUUAAUUCCAGGAGACUGAGGUAAGCAGAUCGCUGAGUCCGAGACCUGCGGGGGACAAAGUAAAUUCCAGAUCCAGGCGUGGUGGUGCACACCUUUAAUCUGGGCCACGCCUUCUUCUGGAGACCUACCUGAGGACUUCGGAAGAAGGAAGACUGACUCUUUUCACCUGCCUGCACUUACUUGCCAGCACAUCUGUUGGAACCGACUUCUGCAGGAUUCCAGGUUAUACAGAAGACCAGCUAGAACAACUAGCCUCAUGGGACUGAGAAACUGCUAGAUUCUUGGACUUCCCAUUCACAGCUGGCCAUUGUUGGGUUAGUUGGACUGCAGACUGUAAGUCAUUCCAGUAAAUUCCCUUAAUAUAGGGGGACAUUUCAUAAGUUCUGUGACUCUAGAGAACCCUGACUGAUACACUUCCCAAGUGGUUUUGUUUGUGGUGUUUCAUCAGAGCAAUAGCAUCUCUAACUAAGACGGGGUACAAGCCUGAAAACCAGCACUCAGGAGGCUGAGGCAAGAGGCUCUCAGAUUCGAGGUCAGUAGCCGGGGCUACAUGGCUAUAUAGUAAACCCUUUUCACCAGUGACAAACGAACAAAUAAGCAAACAGAAAACUGCAUAAUUAUACUUCACAAAGUUAAUAAAGUCCAAAAACAGAGCUAUUGUAUAAAUUGCAAGAUAAUAUGCAGGUAAAGAUAACUUUUUAAAUACAGUGGAUAGUUGCGCUAUAAAUACAAAUACCUUCUCAUUGGAGUUAAGGCCUGCUCAACAAGAGGAGACCAUGGUGGUACAGGAAACCUAGCUAAUGACCCAGUGCUACUGGUUAUUGGUGGAGAAUCUACAGCCGUUUCUUUCCUCAAACAGCAUAGUCUCGGACAACCAUCUAUAAACAUUUGCCCGUAGUGUACCCAAAGAUAAAUGGAGUCCUCACCCCUCAUAAAGAAAACUUCUCUUUGCAACAGACAGAGAACCCUGCAGAGAACCACACCUCACUGAAAUUCAGAGCUCUGGCCCUCGGUCCUGAUGAAUACAUCCACAAAACACCCCCACAUCUAAGGCUCAGACAACAUUGCAGAAGAGGGUGUGGGAAGAUUACAAAAAGCCAGAAGGCCUGAGAGUUUGAUGUGAGAUUGUAUCUCCUAGUAACCUCAGAACCUGCACCCAUGAAGCCUCACAAACAUGACUGCCUGAGUGUGAGCCCAACAACAACAACAUCAAUGGACGUGCAAAAGUGGACUGAGAAAAACCCACAAGGCUUCAACCCCCACACAAAGAAGUGCUGGGAGUGGGAGUGCCCAGGGAAGAGCACAGCGAUGGUUUGUGCAGUGUCAAAACAGUUCUGAAAACACAAUGCAAGUAACAUACAGGUCGAGCUGUCCAUGUUCAGGACAUGCAUAUAUAUAUAUAUAUAUAUGCAAUAACAAUUAAUGGGAGAAAAAAAAUCCCUCCAGCUUUCUGCCCAGAGCACGUGAGUGAGCCAUUCUGGAAGUGAAUCUCCUGAACAGAUAAACAGUCCUGGCUGAUACCUCAUUAUGAUCUAAGACCUGAACAGAAGCCACCCAGCUAUGACCUAACCUGACAUCAGAAGAGACAUCGUUACUUCUGUUUUGUCCAUUCAAGUUGGGGCUUGUUUGUCACACAGCAGCACCUAACCAAUACACUCACCUGGCUCCUGGAAAACACUCAUCCCUACCCUUGUCUGCCGUUUACUCCUUUGCAAGUUCCUGUUUCUCUCAUCUCAUCACCGAAAGUUGUUUCCUAGUGCGGAGAGUGAUUCUCUCUGCAGGGAGGAGUCUCUUCCUAGAGUCUUGUGCAUAAUCUGCUUCUUGUCUUUAUUGGAUUUCUACUCAAAUAUUAGGCCACCGAAGAGGUCCUCUCAAACCACACAUUUAAAGAGAAAAUGGAGGGAUGGCUCAGCAUGUAAAAGGACUUGUCGAGCGUGACAAUCUGAGUUCCAUCCAGAUGGCAGAGGAAGAGAAUUCACACACACACUCACACACACAUUCAUACACAUGGAUGCACACACACUUACCCACACACACUCACAUGCACACACAUACACACACACACACAUUGACACAUGCCCGCUCACACACAUGUGCACACACAUACAUGCACACUCACACACAUGCAUGCACACACACUCACCCACACUCACACACAUGCACACACAUACAUGCACACUCACACACAUGCACACACAUACAUGCACACUCACACACAUGCAUGCACACACACUCACCCACACACACUCACACGCACACACACAAACAAUAGCACACCCCCACACAAACAUGUCCUCCCCCAAAAUAAAUAACUGUAGUAAAAAAUUAAAAUUGUGUCCACAGA